GCUUUACCAAACCAACUCAGACUGGACUGGACUAUGGACGCCCAACAGGUAAUUGGUUUUAGUUGUAUGCACUUUACAUUGUCCAUUUUUGUUAAGUGACAGUGCAUUCUAAUUAAUUUAUUACAUGUAAUCAUGUAAAUGGAAGUGCAUUAGUACUGAGAAAAUACACGAAUGAGUCAUUAGAGAAUGACCAGAGGCUUGUCUUUAACAUUUCAAUUUAUUUUGUACACUGUUCAGUUGCAAGGCACAAACAAUUUAGUCUCAUAAUUAAUAAGAAUAAGGAGAGAAUUCUGUCUCAUUGAAUUCAGUUUCCAUUUUAGACAUACCACUAUGUUUUUCUAUAUCCUUCUUUUAUUUUAUUUUCUAUUCUUCCUUUCUUUUUUUCUGUCC